CAUUUUUGAUAGUAUGAUGUGAUGAUUUGACUAGUUGGUGCAGAAUAUUAGAAAGAUAUUUUGAUAAUACAGAUUUAAUAU